rnacentral:rRNA from 1 species
AAAUGAAUUGACGGGGACCCGCACAAGCGGUGGAGCAUGCUCUUCAAUUGGCUGAUAACCCAAGAACCUUACCAAGGCUUGACAUGCAUGAAGUAGUGAACCGAAAGGGGAACGACCGGUAUCCAGUCCGGAGCUUGCACAGGUGUUGCAUGGCUGUCGUCAGCUCGUACCGUGAGGCGUACCCUUAAGUGGGUUAACGAGCGCAACCCCUACUGCUAGUUGUAUCACUCUAGCGGAACUGCCGCGGCAACGCGGAGGAAGGCGGGGAUGACGUCAAGUCGGUAUUGCCCUUACGCCUUGGGCCAGAAGCAUGCUACAAUGGCCGGCACAAAGGGUUGCAAAGCCGCGAGGCUGAGCUAAUCCCAAAAAACCGGUCCCAGUUCGGAUUGGAGUCUGCAAUUCGACUCCAUGAAGCCGGAAUCGCUAGUAAUCGUGGGUCAGCUACACCACGGUGAAUACGUUCUCGGGUCUUGCACACACCGCCCGU